ACUGAACGCUGGCGGCAGGCCUAACACAUGCAAGUCGAACGAGUGGCGGACGGGUGAGUAAUGUCUGGGAAACUGCCCGAUGGAGGGGGAUAACUACUGGAAACGGUAGCUAAUACUGCAUACCAUCGGAUGUGCCCAGAUGGGAUUAGCUAGUAGGUGGGGUAACGGCCUACCUAGGCGACGAUCCGUAGCUGGUCUGAGAGGAUGACCAGCCACACUGGAACUGAGAUACGGGCCGAACUCGUCCGGGAGGCAGCGGUGGGGAAUAUUGCACAAGGGGGGAAACCCUGAUGCAGCAGCGCCGCGUGCUGGGUGACGGCCUUCGGGUUGUAAACCGCUUUCAGCCAUAACGCGGUAGUGUCAGAAGAAGCACCGGCUAACUACGUGCCAGCAGCCGCGGUAAUAC
rnacentral:rRNA from 1 species